AAUGGGGACUUUUAAUUUGAAAACGUGCAGGAUACCUCUUUCCGGUUUCCCUGACUUCUGUUUUUUUAAUACUGUGUUAUUCUUGUUUGGGUAGCACCCCUCACAGGCCGUUUGGUGUACGUUUUUUUUUUGAUGGUAUAUUCAACCUUUUGGCAGCUAUCAGGAUCCAUAGUGGAGAGACGCAGCGCAGCUUCUCUCCAACAGCACCAUGGGGAGGCGUGCUGGGCAUCGACAUAAUACAUAUUUUGGGCCUGUGACUUUCGCAAAGUGGGCGCUGCUUAUCAAGGGGCGACAUCAGCGCUCUGCUUAAUAGCUCAUAUGCAACUGGGUAAAUAUGAACCAGGAAAUGAGAAAUCAAAGGCCAGACUGUAGCAAACACCACGGUGGUAGGAGACAGGUGCAAAGGCCACCACGAAGGACUCUGGAAAACCAAAAAAAGACAACUCUCUCAACCAUGCUGAUAUUAAAGAGUAAAUCUCUUGUUAAAGAGACUUCUCUUGUUUAGCAUUGCACAUGUUUAAACGACUCCUCUUUCGUGUAUACGUUUUAAGAUAUUCAAUGAAAAAAAAAACGGUAUGAUUCUGGCAUUGUGAAUCCUAUUUUUUUUACUAUUAUUUAAUAGUUAGACAGAAGAUUGAAAACCUUACAUAGACUUGUUUCUACUGUAUUAUUGACUGUAUGUUUGUUUUACUCCAUGUGUAACUCUGUGUUGUUGUAUGUGAGUCGAACUGCUUUGCUUUAUCUUGGCCAGGUCGCAAUUGUAAAUGAGAACUUGUUCUC